rnacentral:rRNA from 1 species
CUGCUGCCUCCCGUAGGAGUCUGGACCGUGUCUCAGUUCCAGUGUGGCUGAUCAUCCUCUCAGACCAGCUACGGAUCGUCGCCUUGGUGGGCCUUUACCCCGCCAACUAGCUAAUCCGACAUCGGCUCAUUCAAUCGCGCAAGGUCCGAAGAUCCCCUGCUUUCACCCGUAGGUCGUAUGCGGUAUUAGCGUAAGUUUCCCUACGUUAUCCCCCACGAAAAAGUAGAUUCCGAUGUAUUCCUCACCCGUCCGCCACUCGCCACCCAGAGAGCAAGCUCUCCUGUGCUGCCGUUCGACUUGCAUGUGUUAGGCCUACCGCCAGCGUUCACUCUGAGCCAGGAUCAAACCCUC